GGGUCAGCGACUUAUAUUCUGUAGCAAGGUUAACCGAAUAGGGGAGCCGGAGGGAAACCGAGUCUUAACCGGGCGUUAAGUUGCAGGGUAUAGACCCGAAACCCGGUGAUCUAGCCAUGGGCAGGUUGAAGGUUGGGUAACACUAACUGGAGGACCGAACCGACUAAUGUUGAAAAAUUAGCGGAUGACCUGUGGCUGGGGGUGAAAGGCCAAUCAAACCGGGAGAUAGCUGGUUCUCCCCGAAAGCUAUUUAGGUAGCGCCUCGUGAAUUCAUCUCCGGGGGUAGAGCACUGUUUCGGCUAGGGGGCCAUCCCGGCUUACCAACCCGAUGCAAACUGCGAAUACCGGAGAAUGUUAUCACGGGAGACACACGGCGGGUGCUAACGUCCGUCGUGAAGAGGGAAACAACCCAGACCGCCAGCUAAGGUCCCAAAGUCAUGGUUAAGUGGGAAACGAUGUGGGAAGGCCCAGACAGCCAGGAUGUUGGCUUAGAAGCAGCCAUCAUUUAAAGAAAGCGUAAUAGCUCACUGGUCGAGUCGGCCUGCGCGGAAGAUGUAACGGGGCUAAACCAUGCACCGAAGCUGCGGCAGCGACA
rnacentral:rRNA from 1 species